AAUUCUCAACCUAUCUCGUUUUCUAACUUGUUAGGCUUGGAUCAUGGAAGUUGCUGGUUCAAUUCGAAUCAGCUCUUCUUAAAUAUAUUAGCAAAGACUUUUGCUGACCAUCAUUGGUAUGAUAAUUAUCUAUAUCAUUGGUAACCAGUUCCCUUUCAUAGGGAAGUCUUGCUUCUAAUAGUCGUUUCGACAACUUGACAC
rnacentral:misc_RNA from 1 species